rnacentral:rRNA from 1 species
CCCAGACUCCUACGGGAGGCAGCAGUGGGGGAUAUUGCACAAUGGGGGGAACCCUGAUGCAGCGACGCCGCGUGGGUGAAGGAGCGUUUCGGCGCGUAAAGCCCUCUCGGCAGGGAAGAAGGAGGACGGUACCUGACUAAGAAGCCCCGGCUAACUACGUGCCAGCAGCCGCGGUAAUACGUAGGGGGCAAGCGUUAUCCGGAUUUACUGGGUGUAAAGGGAGCGUAGACGGCAGAGCAAGUCUGAAGUGAAAGCCCGGGGCUCAACCCCGGUACUGCAUUGGAAACUGUCGGACUAGAGUGUCGGAGGGGUAAGUGGAAUUCCUAGUGUAGCGGUGAAAUGCGUAGAUAUUAGGAGGAACACCAGUGGCGAAGGCGGCUUACUGGACGAUUACUGACGCUGAGGCUCGAAAGCGUGGGGAGCAAACAGGAUUAGAUACCCUUGUACU